rnacentral:rRNA from 1 species
AACGAACGCUGGCGGCAUGCCUAACACAUGCAAGUCGAACGAGACCUUCGGGUCUAGUGGCGCACGGGUGCGUAACGCGUGGGAACCUGCCCUUAGGUUCGGAAUAACGCCUCGAAAGGGGUGCUAAUACCGGAUAAUGUCUUCGGACCAAAGAUUUAUCGCCUUUGGAUGGGCCCGCGUUGGAUUAGCUAGUUGGUGGG